AACAUUCAGAAAUGGAUUUCCAUUAGCAUCUUUGAGCAUUAUAAGAACAUCAAGGAUGUCUUUUUCCAUAGUUUUGUUGCCAUUCUUCCAAAUCUGAAUCCUCUUAUGAAUUUAGGUAUCAAUGUGUUUUGUUGCUGUGGCAAAGGCUUUCUUGAUACUUGCCUUGUGACCCUCCAAAUCAAACACACUUAACAAUGGCAAGUAAUCCGAGAUACCAAAAGAAUGGAGGUAUUCAAGAAGUUUGAAGACUGCAUCAACUUGCUCCUCAGCUUCUUUUCCAAAUAAUCUCUUGCUGAAAAUCAUAUUCCAAAUAACAUUCCCACAAUAAUAUCUUGUCACUCUCCUUGAGUUAAUUACCGGUUGGUUGCUGCAUUCAUUGUAAACAUAUCGAAGAAGGUGGUUAGCGUCUUCAUCCCUUUUAUGACUAAGCCAUUGAAGAGAUGUUGGUGAGAGCACAUGAGAGGCAACGAUUAUUGUGGGAAUGUUAUUUGGAAUAUGAUUUUCAGCAAGAGAUUAUUUGGAAAAGAAGCUGAGGAGCAAGUUGAUGCAGUCUUCAAACUUCUUGAAUACCUCCAUUCUUUUGGUAUCUCGGAUUACUUGCCAUUGUUAAGUGUGUUUGAUUUGGAUGGUCACAAGGCAAUUAUCAAGAAAGCCUUUGCCACAGCAACAAAACACAUUGAUACCUAAAUUCAUAAGAGGGUUCAGAUUUGGAAGAAGCCAUCCUUGGUGUUCUUAUAAUGCUCAAAGAUGCUAAUGGAAAUCCAUUUCUGAAUGUUAAAGAGAUUAAAGCACAAAUCCUUGAACUCAUGUUGGCAACAAUGGAUAAUCCCUCAAUUGCAGCUGAAUGGACACUUGCAUAAAUGUUGAACCAACCACAGUUGAUGCAAAGGGUCAUUGAAGAACUCAACACUGUCGUUGGGAGCAAUAAAUUGGUUCAGGAAUCAGACUUGGCACGGCUAAAUUAUGUCAAAGCUUGCAUAAAAGAGGCCUUUCGUCCCCACCCCAUAUUGCCUUUUAACGUUCCUCAUGUCUCUGUUUCUGAUAUUAUUACUAGUGAAAAGUACUUCAUCCCCAAAGGGAGUGUAGUGCUAUUAAGUCGUCUUGGACUUGGUCGGAAUCCUAAAGUUUGGGAGGAGCCGAUGAAGUUUAAGCCUGAGCGCCAAUUCAAGGAAAAAAAUGUAGUUUACAAUGAUUCAGAGUUACACUUGUUAUCUUGUUAUCAUUUAAUAUUGGACGACGAGGGUGACUUGGUGUGAAACUUGGUUCUACCAUUACUACCAUGUUACUUGCUAGGCUUUUUCACGGGUUUACUUGGAGUUUACCACCAAAUUCACCACGCAAUGACUUAAUUGAGGCGUCGAAGAGUGAUCUCUUUUGUACGUUGCCACUUCUUGCUCAAGCAAAACCAAGAUUAGCUAAGAUAAUAUAUCCUUAAGACACAAAUUUUAAAUCUUAUCCGGUUGUUGUAUAGGGGGUAAUCAAAUUUCUUCGAAUGUGUCAGCUCUAUAUGAAUAAAUUGCUCAUUUCUUUUGUUUUAA